GUUGGUGAGGUAACGGCCCACCAAGGCGACGAUUGGUAGCCGGACUGAGAGGUUGAACGGCCACAUUGGGACUGAGACACGGCCCAGACUCCUACGGGAGGCAGCAGUGGGGGAUAUUGCACAAUGGGGGAAACCCUGAUGCAGCGACGCCGCGUGGAGGAAGAAGGUUUUCGGAUUGUAAACUCCUGUCGUUAGGGACGAUAAUGACGGUACCUAACAAGAAAGCACCGGCUAACUACGUGCCAGCAGCCGCGGUAAAACGUAGGGUGCAAGCGUUGUCCGGAAUUACUGGGUGUAAAGGGAGCGCAGGCGGACCGGCAAGUUGGAAGUGAAAACUAUGGGCUCAACCCAUAAAUUGCUUUCAAAACUGCUGGCCUUGAGUAGUGCAGAGGUAGGUGGAAUUCCCGGUGUAGCGGUGGAAUGCGUAGAUAUCGGGAGGAACACCAGUGGCGAAGGCGACCUACUGGGCACUGACUGACGCUGAGGCUCGAAAGCAUGGGUAGCAAACAGGAUUAGAUACCCUGGUAGUCCAUGCCGUAAACGAUGAUUAGGAGGUGUUGGAGGAUUGACCCCUUCAGUGCCGC
rnacentral:rRNA from 1 species